GUUUACUGGAGAGCUGCUUGGUUAGUUAAGUCCUGAAGGUGGGGGAUCUUGAAAUGGCUCCUUAGAAGCUGGGCCAGUUUUACUCCUCCUAAAUGGGUGGUAGAAUGUAGAUGAUUGAUAAAAGUUUCCCCAAGGGCUUGGGGCAUGAAGAUUCUGGAAUCAGGAAGAAUUCACCAACCUUCCUGAUUUUUACUGGCUUGAAGAUCCGAAGCUUGUUUUUCUUCCUCUGGGGAGUAUUCUGGGUAGUCUGCCCAGUCAGUUGUGGAAAGGACACAGAGGGCAGCAGGGUUAAAGGCACGACCAGGAGCUGAGCUGCCUCUCAAGCUGCAGAGUCUGCUCUUUGGUUACCACGAGCAAUGGCCAUGUCUUCUCUUUGAUGUCCUUUGCAGUGAAUUGCAGCCACCUGUUGAGGGAGCCAAACAGCUUCAAGCAGGGCUAAAAUUUCUUCUUUGUUGUUGACACUCUUUCCUGCUGAGGUAGGAAAUGCUGGGAAGAAAAAGCUGGGCCUUCUUGGCUGGGACCUGAUACCCGAAUUCCUGAAGGAGGUAAAGUAGGUCCGUAGUAUGUUGCAGGCAGCUGUCAGUAGUUUCAGUAGCCAAUAACAGGUCGUCUACAUACUGGAGAAGAGUGCAGUUAGGGUGACUGGCUCAGAAUGGUAAAAGAUCCUGUUGGAGGGCUUCCCUAAAAAGGGUGGGGGAAUUUUUAAAACUUCGGGGUAACCAAGUCCAGGUUAAUUGGGUGGUGUCUACCGAGCCAGGAUAUGUCUGUUCAAAAGCAAAGAUAGGUUGACUUUUGGGGCCAGAGGAAUAGCAAAAAAAAGCAUCCUUGAAGUCAAGGACAGUGUACACCAUAUGUUCUGGUGGGAGCAGGCUGAGUAAAGUAUAAGGGUUAGAGACAGUUGGAUGGACAGUGACUGUCUGCUUGUUACCUUCCUGCAAGUCCUGUACAGGCUGGUAAUCAUUUGUUCCGGGUUUCUGGACCGGCAAAAAUGGAAUAUUCCAGGCGAUCUCACAUGGUGUGAGUAUACCAGCUUGUAAUAGUUGCUGAAUAUGAGGAUUAAUUCCCUCUAUAGCCCACAGAAUCAUAGGAUAUUGUUUGACCUGGACCGGCAGGGUGGUGGCCAGGAGUUCUACAACAGCUGGCAGAUGGUGGUUUGCCAGUCCUGGGAGGUAUGAGGAAACAGAGUCUGUAAAGCCAGUAGGAGAGGAUUACUUUUAUUCUCCGGCAGUUGUGAGGGUGAAACUAAGAGAUAUUCCUCUGACCGAAGGGUGGUUAGCAGGAGCUGAGCAGUAGGGGGCAUUGUGUCCCCUAACAUGAGAUAUGGUCCCUCUCUUCAGAGGUGAAAAGGGAUGAAAGGAGUUGCUGACACUCAUCCCAGAGUGUCCAGAGUUUGCCUUUUUUAAGGCGGACCCCGUAAUCAUCUGAGAAGCCUAGAGAGAAAUUCUGCAACAUACACUGGAGAGGACUCCAAUCUUUAUGGGGCCGGGAAGAAGAGUUUACUAUUCUGGAGGCAAUUAACAAGGAAAGGCAGGACUGGGAUGGCCAGCCCAACCGACUAAUGAGGAAUUUGACCUCCUGGGAUAGAAAAUCUGUACUAAGGACCUUGAAGAAGUCCUUGCCCAGUCAUUUUGGGCAGUAUCGACGAUCCGACAUAUGAAAUUUAGACAGACACUAAACAGGACAAUAGGCACUGGGGUAUAUAAACAAGCAUGGCAAUUUUUAUAGACAGACAAGGGGAGGGGGUCCCGUGAUGGGAUCAGUCAGAUGCCCUCCUGGCUGCUCCCCUUUCGGGGACUUAGGCUCCUCUUGGCAUUGGCAGGCUGGUAUAAACCCCUGGCUUGGAUCGAGCUAUGCCUGAUGCCGCCCUAAGCCUUAUGAGGUCACCACGGAACCACAGGUGAGGGCCUUCUCGAAUUCCCUAGCUUUCACCCUGGAGCUACAAACUGGAAAUUCAAGCGCAAGCCCUUGAACUCCACAUUCACUCACUCACUCACUCACUCAGAGUUUAUUACAAUUUUUAUACCCAUUCUAAAACAGAGAUCUCCCGGAGACCUGAAUGAGAGAGGGAGAAGAGAUAGAGAGAGAGAGAGACUAGACUUAACAGAGAAUCCUGACAGAAACCAGGACUCUGUCCUCCAGUGUCCUGGAGCAUGGACAGAGUCUGAGGGAGGACCUUCGUCAGGGCCGUUUCCCUCCCAGAGAGACAGAGUCAGAUCUGACUUACCUUCCCGGGACUAGAGACUGAGGACUCAGGAGUUGAAUUUGGCUGGGCGCACCGGCAGUCGAUCCGUUCCCCUCCAGAAGACAGUGGCCUGUGGAGCCCUGGAACGUCUUCAGGUGGCCCUGUAAGCCAGCUGUCUGUCUGGGGAAGCCCGGAAUGAGUCAGGUCUUCACCCGGUGGCGAAUCUCUCUGGGGCUUCCAAAUGUCGUAACCGAGCAAGUCAUAGAGAGAAUGCCACACUCUGAGACUAAUUCAGGAGUCCUUUAUUGCUGGCGACUGAGAAAGAGCUAGAGCUUGAAAUUCUCUCGGUCCGGAAGAAGAGGCUAGAGUUCUUUUUAUACCUUGGCCUAAAGAGGGGAGGGGGAGUCUAGCUGAAGCAAUUUUUUACAGAAGCAGAACAGGAAAAAAUUAAAAGAUAAAUGGUUACAGAAACAGUUACAGGAAAAUAAACAGUUCCAGGUGCAGGGGCUUAAAGUAUCCCAAAGUGAUAAAAGCAGGGGCUUUGGAUACCACCAACCAAGUGUGCUCCCAGGAGCUGCUGGUACAGCUUGCCUCAGUAUCUUAUCAAUAAGCGCAUUCUUGGAUGUGCUUGGAGUCAGCUUGCACCAGUUAUGUCCUUAAGGAGGGGGACAAGGGGCUGCAAGCGAAGAAACCAAGCUAAGACUCUCUCAGCUAUUGACUCUCUCGAUAUUGACUCUCAAUUGAGUCUCCCAAGCUAUUGACUCUCUCAGCUAAGAAAGAGUCAAUCAGGAUAAAACAAGAUAGGGUAUCACAAUUUGAUCUGCAAGAUUAUUUCCUGGACUUGUGAAAGGCGAGUCGUUUUGGUGCCCUGGGACAUGUACAAUAGCUAUCUCUUCUGGCAAUUGGAGAUUGUUGAGGACACGAGCAUCAGUUCUCUAUGAACUAAAUCUUGGCCUCUACUAUUGAUAAGAGCCCUCUCCAUCCAAAUUUUCCCAAAUGUGUGUGCCUCCCCAGAGGGAUACUUAGAGUCAGUAUAGAUAGAUUUUCUUGGUUUUGUAAAUGUCCUAAAGCUUGGCUGAGUGCAAACAGUUCACACCCUUGGACAGACCAAUUAUUAGACCCCCUUCCUGAUUUUACUUUUUUAACAGUCUUUCCAUUAAUCACUGAAUACCUAUUAUGUCUCUUUCUUUUAAUCACCUGGGAGGUUCCAUCUAUGAAUAAGUGCCACCCUGUCUUGAAGGGAGUUUUUCCUAAGUCUGGUUGAACUUUCGUAUGGUAAUUAAUUCGAUUUAAACACGCGUGCUCUCUCGUUUUACGUUUGGAUCCCCCGUUAAAGAGCCUGCUGAAUAAAGUGAAUUAUUAGUACUUAAUAUUAAAUCACCUUUUUCCCAGAAAGAUAGCCUCAUAUUUUAAAAUUUUUGAGUUGGUAAUCUCCCUCCUUGCGUUUUGAUUUAAUAUAGUUUUAACUUGGUGGGUUGUGGCCUGAAGCGGCUGGGGAGUAACUUGAAACCUCAGCUGAAGGGACAGCACAGGCUGGGGCGUGGCCUGAAACAGCUGGGGAGUAACCUGAAACCACAGCCGGAGGGACCUGAGAGGGGAACCAAAGGGGCAGGAUUGGGGGCGCUGAAGGAAGGAAGGUGAUUUAGAGGAUCCCAUGUCUUGGUAGGUAUGGGUUGUCUAGGCAUGGGAACUCUUUCCUUUUUAGAAAGGUUGGUUUCUGAUUUUCUCCCUCCAGAGUCUAAAGGGUAAAGGAGAACUGGUCCCUGCCGCCAGCAGAGGGCGUAAUCGAUUUUUCCUGGGACACAGGGCUCUUACUGUUAACAUAUUUGAUUAACAGCUGACAAAUUCGCUCUUCAUUAGACUUAAAUUUUGGCCAGAAAAGUGAGGGCUUAAGGAUGGGUUCUCGAACUUAAAUAAAACAACAAUAUUCUAUCAUCUGCUGUUUUUGUUUAUACUUGGUUCUCUUAUUAUUUUUUCAAUACUUUAGCAUAAGCCCCAAGGGGCUAUCAGAAGGAAAUUCAUCACUCUCUAGACUCUUUAGUUUUCCUGUCUUACUUGAAACGUUCCCCAUCUUAGGGAUUAUGGGGAGGAGGCCCAACCCCUCCUGUGAGAUUUCUACCCUCCCCCUUCCUGGAGGCUUACUGAGGCUUUGGGGAAAGGCUCCAACCCAACCUGUUUGGAUUUCUACCCUCCCCCUUCCUCUUUGUCUACUCUGUCUGUUCCUGACUCUAGUUGACAGAUGGCAGCAUGAGGCCAUAGAGAAGACUCACUCACUCCACAUAACCACCAUACUAAGUCCCAUUCAUACACUGUCAGCCUCCAGCUUAUCCCAACCACCUGGGAAAUACUUUGUCACCUUCGCCAAGUCUCCUACCUUAUUCCAUGCACAAGAAUUUCCUGGUCCUCUUAUUGUUGCGGUCUUGCAAGCUUCUCCUCCCCGCUUUGCUGAGAUCCAGACUUAUUUGUCACAAAGCGGGGGGGGGGCCCUGAUCUCCCUCAACCUAGGGGCACGGUAACUAGACAGUAGGAUGCGUCCCCUCCGGGUGGGGUGACCGAAGGCCCCCUUCCCAAAGGAGAAGAUUCGAGCCCCAAAGUUGGGCUCCAGAACUGUUAGGAAUAACGCUCAAAAUCUUAAGGAAAUUGAACACUUGAACAAAGGAUUCUUAGCAAAGCAAUUUUACUUCUGCGCAGAGAGGUGCCUCCUUGUCCAGUCGCCAUGAGAGCACACCUGAAAAAGGGGCACGAGAGCCUUUACUCCUGACACAAGUACUGCCCCUGUACCCUUUCUCCAUUGGCCAGGGUCAGGUCGUACAAUCUAAACUAAUCCUGGUUGGCUAAACAUUGGAUUUUUUUUAGAUAAGGUGGGCACGUAAAAAAGGCAGAGAAUAAAGGGGAAGGGGUGUCUGUAAUGAGCUAAAAAGUUAGUCCUCUUUCCAAAUAAGGAAAGGAAUGUGAGCAGGUACAGAUACCACCUGGUACUGUGGCAUGCCUGGGCAUGUAACAAAGGAAAAAAGAGAAAAAAGGAGAAAAAGGAAAAAAGGUGGAGGGAUUACUAUGAAUUAAAGAAUAAAAGAUUGAUCAGGUUAUCUGAAGAGAAACCUCAUCAUAUCCCACACAUCCAUCCAUCCAUCCAUCCAUCCAUCAUUCAUCCAUCCAUCCAUCCAUCCAUCCAUCCAUCAUUCAUCCAUCCCCAAUCCAUGUAUCCUUCCACCCAUCCCUCCUUCCAUUUGUCUUUCUAUCCAUCCUUCCUUCUUUCCAUGUUUCCAACCAUCCAUCCAUGCCUCCGUCCCUCCACCCAUCCAUUCGUCCAUCCAUUGUUCCAUCCAUUCCAUCUAUCUAUUUAUUCACCAGAUAUUAUUGAGGCGGGGAAUACAAUAAUUAACAGAACUCAAAAAUCCCUUCUCUCAUAGAGCUUACAUGCUAGUGGGUAGAAACAGGGUAAGCAAGCAAACAGCAAAUAUAUAAAAUACAUGACAUAUUGAUAAACAAAUGCUAUGGAGAAGAAGAAAACACUUAGAAGGGCAAGAAGAAAUAUCAGAGGAGGUAGGUUAAUUUUAAAUAGGGUGAUGAAGAAAGUCCUCUCUGAAAAGACGAUAAAUCGGCAAGGAAAUUAAAAAUACAAGUCAGAGAAUUAUUCUAAUAUCUGAGGGCAGAGCAUCCCAGGCAGUGAGAAUACCAAGGGCAAGAGCCCUGAGGCACAAGUACCUCUCUUGCGUAAUUUUUUAGUAACGGUCAAGGUCCUCUUGGUCCUCACCAACUCUCCCUAACUUAUCUGGGGGCUGAUAUUUUUGAACCAACAAAAGUGCUGGAAGGCAACACUGUAAGAUUUUAAGGGUGCAAAACUUUCAUGAAAUGUCUGGGAAAAUGCUGACAACAAAUGAGGAAAAACAAAUGAAUUAGGUAGAAUUUAAAAUUAAAUGUAAUCAAAUUCCACUGCAUUGUACAUUCAGAAUACGUAUUUUCUAAAAUCGAAAGGCUUGUUAAAUGAGAAUAAUUUCAAGUAAAAGUGUCUCUUUCAUUUGGUUUUCCCAGUGGAUGUAUAAAAUAACUAAUUGAGCUAAAUCUGUUAUUUUUUAAAUCCUUAAUGCCUCUCUAGAAUGUAAAAGUUCAUUUCCUAUUGUGGAAAUUUUGAAAAUUAUGUAAAAGAAUAACAAAAAUAAACUUGUUGCCAAACAACAUAGAAAAAAACCCUCUUAAUAUUCAAAUCUUUCUAGAUAGAUUUUCUUUUAUUUCUAAGUUUUGCUGGUUUGAUAGUGUAUAAAGCUUAUUUUAAUUUGCAUUUUUAUUACUAGUCUGUACAAUUUUUCAUGUCAUUUAAUGGUCAAUUUUAUGUAAAAACUUUCUUUGUGGCAUCUGAGAUUUUUCUUAUUUAUAUGAAUAAACUCUUUUGAUUAUAAGAAAAUUGCCAAA
rnacentral:lncRNA from 10 species